rnacentral:misc_RNA from 1 species
UUUCCGUAGGUGAACCUGCGGAAGGAUCAUUACAAAUUACAGGCCCGGGAGGUUAUACCUCCCACCCUUGUGUUGUGUUACUUUGUUGCUGUUUCGAUCGCAAACGCGCCAAAAAAUACCAAAACUCUUUUUAUUAAUGUCUGCUAACUACUAUAUAAUAAUUAAAACUUUAAACAACUGAUCACUUGAUUCUUUCAUCGAUGAAUAGCUCAGGAGAGCGGAAGAUCGCACGUCUACACUCCAGUCACGCAGAGUCAGCGACUCUGCCCGUUUGUGCUU